rnacentral:lncRNA from 1 species
GUGAUUUAAAUUCGGGACCUCGUGAUUUCGUGGUUUUAAACCCGGAUUUCGGGAUCAGGACCCUCCUAUCCCCCUCUAUGUUGAUGCUUUGUGAAAAAUAAAGAAAUCUGACUUACCGGUAUGCUACCAUUAUAUUUGCCAUUGUUAGAGUCAUGUCCAAAGCAGAAUAUUAAUGAAACACAUGCAAUAAUUCCUUUCCAAUACUUUGUGCAAGAGAACGUCAUAUGUUUACUGCACUGUGACAAAAUUUCAAAUGACGUAAUGCAGCCUGUGACGUCAAG